UUCCGUUAGAAUAAAAGUUCAUCUAAUUUCCACUUAGAAAGUUCCAAAAAGAUGGAACGGAAA
rnacentral:tRNA from 1 species